rnacentral:rRNA from 1 species
UACGGAGGAUGCAGGCGUUAUCCGGAAUGAUUGGGCUUAAAGCGUCCGCAGGUGGCUGUGUAAGUCUGCUGUUAAAGAGUCUAGCUCAACUAGAUACAAGCAGUGGAAACUACACGGCUAGAGUACGUUCGGGGCAGAGGGAAUUCCUGGUGUAGCGGUGAAAUGCGUAGAGAUGUGGAGGAACACCGAUGGCGAAGGCAGCCUCCUGGGCCGACACUGACGCUGAGGGCACGAAAGCGUGGGGAGCAAACAGG